GCGGCGGACGGGUGAGUAACACGUGGGCAACCUGCCCGCAAGACCGGGAUAACUCCGGGAAACCGGAGCUAAUACCGGAUAACACCGAAGACCGCAUGGUCUUUGGUUGAAAGGCGGCCUUUGGCUGUCACUUGCGGAUGGGCCCGCGGCGCAUUAGCUAGUUGGUGAGGUAACGGCUCACCAAGGCGACGAUGCGUAGCCGGCCUGAGAGGGUGACCGGCCACACUGGGACUGAGACACGGCCCAGACUCCUACGGGAGGCAGCAGUAGGGAAUCUUCCGCAAUGGGCGAAAGCCUGACGGAGCGACGCCGCGUGAGCGAAGAAGGCUUUCGGGUCGUAAAGCUCUGUUGUGAGGGACGAAGGAGCGCCGUUCGAAGAGGGCGGCGCGGUGACGGUACCUCACGAGGAAGCCCCGGCUAACUACGUGCCAGCAGCCGCGGUAAUAC
rnacentral:rRNA from 1 species